GCGGGCGUGAUCUAGGGGUAUGAUUAGGGCCUUCCAAGCCCUCUGCCCGGGUUCGAAUCCCGGCGCCCGCA
rnacentral:tRNA from 2 species